rnacentral:rRNA from 1 species
AUAUCAAUAAGCGGAGGAAAAGAAACUAACAAGGAUUCCCCUAGUAACGGCGAGUGAAGCGGGAUGAGCUCAAAUUUAAAAUCUGGCUGGUUUACUAGUCCGAAUUGUAGUUUAUAGAAGCGUUUUCGGUGGCAGCCUGGGUAUAAAUCCUUUGGAAUAGGGUAUCAUAGAGGGUGAGAAUCCCGUCUUUGACUCAGUGCAUGCUACUAUGUGAUACGUUUUCAAAGAGUCGAGUUGUUUGGGAAUGCAGCUCAAAAUGGGUGGUAAAUUUCAUCUAAAGCUAAAUAUUGGCGAGAGACCGAUAGCGAACAAGUACCGUGAGGGAAAGAUGAAAAGAACUUUGAAAAGAGAGUUAAACAGUGCGUGAAAUUGUUGAAAGGGAAACGUUUGACACCAGUUAUGCGGGUGGAAAAUCAGUCUUUUGCAAUGGGGAGUUGUGGGCGUUCAGACCGCAAGGCUGGCGUUUGCUUCAUCUUUGUUGUAAGUGAUGCACUUUUUCAUUUGCAGGUCAACAUCAGUUUGCUCUGCUGGACAAAACUCCAAGGGAAGGUGGCAGCUUAGGCUGUGUUAUAGCCCUGGAGCGAUACAGUGGAGUGGACUGAGGUUUCGCAGUGUGUGCUUUCGGGCAAGGCUGACUGGGUGCUAUGGGAUCGUUCGGUGUACAAUGCUUGCAUUUUGCGCCGUGUCUUUUUCAUACUCGCUCAACUCGGCUCUUCCACGCUUAGGAUGUUGACUUAAUGGUUUUAAACGA